rnacentral:rRNA from 1 species
UACAGAGGGUGCAAGCGUUGUUCGGAAUUAUUGGGCGUAAAGGGCUCGUAGGCGGUCUGUCACGUCGGGAGUGAAAACCCGCGGCUUAACUGCGGGCUUGCGGUUGAUACGGGCGGGCUAGAGUUCGGUAGGGGAGACUGGAAUUCCUGGUGUAGCGGUGAAAUGCGCAGAUAUCAGGAGGAACACCGAUGGCGAAGGCAGGUCUCUGGGCCACUACUGACGCUGAGAAGCGAAAGCAUGGGGAGCGAACAGG